GACGAACGCUGGCGGCGCGCCUAACACAUGCAAGUCGAACGGAGUCACGAGGAGCUUGCUUUUCUUGACUUAGUGGCGAACGGGUGAGUAACGCGUGAGUAACCUGCCCUGGAGUGGGGGACAACAGUUGGAAACGACUGCUAAUACCGCAUAAGCCCACGGAUCUGCAUGGAUCUGCGGGAAAAGGAUUUAUUCGCUCUAGGAUGGACUCGCGUCCAAUUAGCUAGUUGGUGAGGUAACGGCCCACCAAGGCGACGAUUGGUAGCCGGACUGAGAGGUUGAACGGCCACAUUGGGACUGAGACACGGCCCAGACUCCUACGGGAGGCAGCAGUGGGGGAUAUUGCACAAUGGGGGAAACCCUGAUGCAGCGACGCCGCGAGGAGGAAGAAGGUUUUCGGAUUGUAAACUCCUGUCGUUAGGGACGAUAAUGACGGUACCUAACAAGAAAGCACCAGCUAACUACGUG
rnacentral:rRNA from 1 species